AGAGUUUGAUCCUGGCUCAGGAUGAACGCUAGCGACAGGCCUAACACAUGCAAGUCGAGGGGCAGCGGGGAGGUAGCAAUACCUUUGCCGGCGACCGGCGCACGGGUGAGUAACACGUAUGCAAUCCACCUGUAACAGGGGGAUAACCCGGAGAAAUCCGGACUAAUACCCCAUAAUAUGGGCUCUCCGCAUGGAGGGUUCAUUAAAGAGAGCAAUUUUGGUUACAGACGAGCAUGCGCUCCAUUAGCCAGUUGGCGGGGUAACGGCCCACCAAAGCGACGAUGGAUAGGGGUUCUGAGAGGAAGGUCCCCCACAUUGGAACUGAGACACGGUCCAAACUCCUACGGGAGGCAGCAGUGAGGAAUAUUGGUCAAUGGUCGGCAGACUGAACCAGCCAAGUCGCGUGAGGGAAGACGGCCCUACGGGUUGUAAACCUCUUUUGUCGGAGAGUAAAGUACGCUACGUGUAGCGUAUUGCAAGUAUCCGAAGAAAAAGCAUCGGCUAACUCCGUGCCAGCAGCCGCGGUAAUACGGAGGAUGCGAGCGUUAUCCGGAUUUAUUGGGUUUAAAGGGUGCGUAGGCGGCACGCCAAGUCAGCGGUGAAAUUUUCGGGCUCAACCCGGACUGUGCCGUUGAAACUGGCGAGCUAGAGUGCACAAGAGGCAGGCGGAAUGCGUGGUGUAGCGGUGAAAUGCAUAGAUAUCACGCAGAACCCCGAUUGCGAAGGCAGCCUGCUAGGGUGCGACAGACGCUGAGGCACGAAAGCGUGGGUAUCGAACAGGAUUAGAUACCCUGGUAGUCCACGCAGUAAACGAUGAAUACUAACUGUUUGCGAUACAAUGUAAGCGGUACAGCGAAAGCGUUAAGUAUUCCACCUGGGGAGUACGCCGGCAACGGUGAAACUCAA
rnacentral:rRNA from 1 species